UUCCUCUUUCUCCUAGGCUACGGUUGUACAUUUCUGCCCACUGUACAUUUCUGCUAGAGGAGUCUGGGUUUUUCUGCUUAUUCCCUCCUGAUUCCCAGAGUUCCCCCUAACCAGGAUAUCUGGAAUACCUGGGAGUUUAGGGAAAGUUACCAUCAUUUUGGAACACUACAAGGCGUGUCCUCUCCUGUAGUGUCUAGUAGAGAACUGAGAUGGUUUGAGGCCCAGCUGUAGUGUCUAGUAGAGAACUGAGAUGGUUUGAGGUCCUCUCCUGUAGUGUCUAGUAGAGAACUGAGAUGGUUUGAGGUCCUGUCCUCUCCUGUAGUGUCUAGUAGAGAACUGAGAUGGUUUGAGGUCCUCUCCUGUAGUGUCUAGUAGAGAACUGAGAUGGUUUGAGGUCCUCUCCUGUAGUGUCUAGUAGAGAACUGAGAUGGUUUGAGGUCCUCUCCUGUAGUGUCUAGUAGAGAACUGAGAUGGUUUGAGGCCCUCUCCUGUAGUGUCUAGUAGAGAACUGAGAUGGUUUGAGGCCCUCUCCUGUAGUGUCUAGUAGAGAACUGAGAUGGUUUGAGGUCCUCUCCUGUAGUGUCUAGUAGAGAACUGAGAUGGUUUGAGGUCCUCUCCUGUAGUGUCUAGUAGAGAACUGAGAUGGUUUGAGGUCCUCUCCUGUGGUGUCUAGUAGAGAACUGAGAUGGUUUGAGGCCCUCUCCUGUAGUGUCUAGUAGAGAACUGAGAUGGUUUGAGGCCCUCUCCUGUAGUGUCUAGUAGAGAACUGAGAUGGUUUGAGGCCCUCUCCUGUAGUGUCUAGUAGAGAACUGAGAUGGUUUGAGGUCCUCUCCUGUAGUGUCUAGUAGAGAACUGAGAUGGUUUGAGGUCCUCUCCUGUAGUGUCUAGUAGAGAACUGAGAUGGUUUGAGGCCCUCUCCUGUAGUGUCUAGUAGAGAACUGAGAUGGUUUGAGGCCCUGUCCUCUCCUGUAGUGUCUAGUAGAGAACUGAGAUGGUUUGAGGUCCUCUCCUGUAGUGUCUAGUAGAGAACUGAGAUGGUUUGAGGCCCUGUCCUCUCCUGUAGUGUCUAGUAGAGAACUGAGAUGGUUUGAGGUCCUCUCCUGUGGUGUCUAGUAGAGAACUGAGAUGGUUUGAGGCCCUCUCCUGUAGUGUCUAGUAGAGAACUGAGAUGGUUUGAGGUCCUGUCCUCUCCUGUAGUGUCUAGUAGAGAACUGAGAUGGUUUGAGGUCCUCUCCUGUAGUGUCUAGUAGAGAACUGAGAUGGUUUGAGGUCCUGUCCUCUCCUGUAGUGUCUAGUAAAGAACUGAGAUGGUUUGAGGUCCUGUCCUCUCCUGUAGUGUCUAGUAGAGAACUGAGAUGGUUUGAGGUCCUCUCCUGUAGUGUCUAGUAGAGAACUGAGAUGGUUUGAGGUCCUCUCCUGUAGUGUCUAGUAGAGAACUGAGAUGGUUUGAGGCCCUCUCCUGUAGUGUCUAGUAGAGAACUGAGAUGGUUUGAGGUCCUCUCCUCUCCUGUAGUGUCUAGUAGAGAACUGAGAUGGUUUGAGGCCCUGUCCUCUUCUGUAGUGUCUAGUAGAGAACUGAGAUGGUUUGAGGCCCUGUCCUCUCCUGUAGUGUCUAGUAGAGAACUGAGAUGGUUUGAGGUCCUCUCCUGUAGUGUCUAGUAGAGAACUGAGAUGGUUUGAGGUCCUGUCCUGUAGUGUCUAGUAGAGAACUGAGAUGGUUUGAGGCCCUGUCCUCUCCUGUAGUGUCUAGUAGAGAACUGAGAUGGUUUGAGGCCCAGCUGUAGUGUCUAGUAGAGAACUGAGAUGGUUUGAGGUCCUUUCCUGUAGUGUCUAGUAGAGAACUGAGAUGGUUUGAGGUCCUCUCCUGUAGUGUCUAGUAGAGAACUGAAAUGGUUUGAGGUCCUCUCCUGUAGUGUCUAGUAGAGAACUGAGAUGGUUUGAGGUCCUCUCCUGUAGUGUCUAGUAGAGAACUGAGAUGGUUUGAGGUCCUGUCCUCUCCUGUAGUGUCUAGUAGAGAACUGAGAUGGUUUGAGGUCCUCUCCUGUAGUGUCUAGUAGAGAACUGAGAUGGUUUGAGGUCCUCUCCUGUAGUGUCUAGUAGAGAACUGAAAUGGUUUGAGGUCCUCUCCUGUAGUGUCUAGUAGAGGAGAACUGAGAUGGUUUGAGGUCCUGUCCUGUAGUGUCUAGUAGAGAACUGAGAUGGUUUGAGGUCCUGUCCUCUCCUGUAGUGUCUAGUAGAGAACUGAGAUGGUUUGAGGUCCUCUCCUGUAGUGUCUAGUAGAGGAGAACUGAGAUGGUUUGAGGUCCUGUCCUGUAGUGUCUAGUAGAGAACUGAGAUGGUUUGAGGCCCUGUCCUCUCCUGUAGUGUCUAGUAGAGAACUGAGAUGGUUUGACGUCCUCUCCUGUAAUGUCUAGUAGAGAACUGAGAUGGUUUGAGGCCCUGUCCUCUCCUGUAGUGUCUAGUAGAGAACUGAGAUGGUUUGAGGUCCUCUCCUAUAGUGUCUAGUAGAGAACUGAGAUGGUUUGAGGUCCUCUCCUGUAGUGUCUAGUAGAGAACUGAGAUGGUUUGAGGCCCUGUCCUCUCCUGUAGUGUCUAGUAGAGAACUGAGAUGGUUUGAGGUCCUCUCCUGUGGUGUCUAGUAGAGAACUGAGAUGGUUUGAGGCCCUCUCCUGUAGUCUCUAGUAGAGAACUGAGAUGGUUUGAGGUCCUGUCCUCUCCUGUAGUGUCUAGUAGAGAACUGAGAUGGUUUGAGGUCCUGUCCUCUCCUGUAGUGUCUAGUAGAGAACUGAGAUGGUUUGAGGUCCUCUCCUGUAGUGUCUAGUAGAGAACUGAGAUGGUUUGAGGCCCUGUCCUCUCCUGUAGUGUCUAGUAGAGAACUGAGAUGGUUUGAGGCCCUGUCCUCUCCUGUAGUGUCUAGUAGAGAACUGAGAUGGUUUGAGGUCCUGUCCUCUCCUGUAUUGUCUAGUAGAGAACUGAGAUGGUUUGAGGUCCUGUCCUCUCCUGUAGUGUCUAGUAGAGAACUGAGAUGGUUUGAGGUCCUCUCCUAUAGUGUCUAGUCGAGACCUGAGAUGGUUUGAUGUCCUGUCCUCUCCUGUAGUGUCUAGUAGAGAACUGAGAUGGUUUGAGGCCCUGUCCUGUAGUCUCUAGUAGAGAACUGAGAUGGUUUGACGUCCUCUCCUGUAGUGUCUAGUAGAGAACUGAGAUGGUUUGAGGCCCUGUCCUCUCCUGUAGUGUCUAGUAGAGAACUGAGAUGGUUUGAGGCCCUGUCCUCUCCUGUAGUGUCUAGUAGAGAACUGAGAUGGUUUGACGUCCUCUCCUGUAGUGUCUAGUAGAGACCUGAGAUGGUUUGAGGUCCUCUCCUGUAGUGUCUAGUAGAGAACUGAGAUGGUUUGAGGUCCUCUCCUGUAGUGUCUAGUAGAGAGCUGAGAUGGUUUGAGGUCCUGUCCUCUCCUGUAGUGUCUAGUAGAGAACUGAGAUGGUUUGACGUCCUGUCCUCUCCUGUAGUGUCUAGUAGAGAACUGAGAUGGUUUGAGGCCCUGUCCUCUCCUGUAGUGUCUAGUAGAGAACUGAGAUGGUUUGACGUCCUGUCCUCUCCUGUAGUGUCUAGUAGAGAACUGAGAUGGUUUGAGGUCCUGUCCUCUCCUGUAGUGUCUAGUAGAGAACUGAGAUGGUUUGACGUCCUGUCCUCUCCUGUAGUGUCUAGUAGAGAACUGAGAUGGUUUGAGGUCCUCUCCUGUAGUGUCUAGUAGAGAACUGAGAUGGUUUGAGGUCCUCUCCUGUGGUGUCUAGUAGAGAACUGAGAUGGUUUGAGGUCCUGUCCUCUCCUGUAGUGUCUAGUAGAGAACUGAGAUGGUUUGAGACCUUGUCCUCUCCUGUAGUGUCUAGUAGAGAACUGAGAUGGUUUGAGGUCCUGUCCUGUAAUGUCUAGUAGAGAACUGAGAUGGUUUGAGGCCCUGUCCUCUCCUGUAGUGUCUAGUAGAGAACUGAGAUGGUUUGACGUCCUCUCCUGUAAUGUCUAGUAGAGAACUGAGAUGGUUUGAGGCCCUGUCCUCUCCUGUAGUGUCUAGUAGAGAACUGAGAUGGUUUGACGUCCUCUCCUGUAGUGUCUAGUAGAGAACUGAGAUGGUUUGAGGCCCUGUCCUCUCCUGUAGUGUCUAGUAGAGAACUGAGAUGGUUUGAGGUCCUCUCCUGUAGUGUCUAGUAGAGAACUGAGAUGGUUUGAGGCCCUGUCCUCUCCUGUAGUGUCUAGUAGAGAACUGAGAUGGUUUGAGGUCCUGUCCUCUCCUGUAGUGUCUAGUAGAGAACUGAGAUGGUUUGAGACCUUGUCCUCUCCUGUAGUGUCUAGUAGAGAACUGAGAUGGUUUGACGUCCUGUCCUCUCCUGUAGUGUCUAGUAGAGAACUGAGAUGGUUUGAGGCCCUGUCCUCUCCUGUAGUGUCUAGUAGAUAACUGAGAUGGUUUGAGGUCCUCUCCUGUAGUGUCUAGUAGAGAACUGAGAUGGUUUGACGUCCUGUCCUCUCCUGUAGUGUCUAGUAGAGAACUGAGAUGGUUUGAGGCCCUGUCCUCUCCUGUAGUGUCUAGUAGAGAACUGAGAUGGUUUGAGGCCCUGUCCUCUCCUGUAGUGUCUAGUAGAGAACUGAGAUGGUUUGAGGUCCUCUCCUGUAGUGUCUAGUAGAGAACUGAGAUGGUUUGAGGUCCUCUCCUGUAGUGUCUAGUAGAGAACUGAGAUGGUUUGAGGCCCUGUCCUCUCCUGUAGUGUCUAGUAGAGAACUGAGAUGGUUUGAGGUCCUCUCCUGUAGUGUCUAGUAGAGAACUGAGAUGGUUUGAGGUCCCGUCCUCUCCUGUAGUGUCUAGUAGAGAACUGAGAUGGUUUGAGGCCCUCUCCUGUAGUCUCUAGUAGAGAACUGAGAUGGUUUGAGGUCCUGUCCUCUCCUGUAGUGUCUAGUAGAGAACUGAGAUGGUUUGAGGUCCUCUCCUGUAGUGUCUAGUAGAGAACUGAGAUGGUUUGAGGUCCUCUCCUGUAAUGUCUAGUAGAGAACUGAGAUGGUUUGAGGCCCUCUCCUGUAGUGUCUAGUAGAGAACUGAGAUGGUUUGAGGCCCUGUCCUCUCCUGUAGUGUCUAGUAGAGAACUGAGAUGGUUUGACGGCCUCUCCUGUAAUGUCUAGUAGAGAACUGAGAUGGUUUGAGGCCCUGUCCUCUCCUGUAGUGUCUAGUAGAGAACUGAGAUGGUUUGAGGCCCUGUUCUCUCCUGUAGUGUCUAGUAGAGAACUGAGAUGGUUUGAGGUCCUCUCCUGUAGUGUCUAGUAGAGAACUGAGAUGGUUUGAGGUCCUCUCCUGUAGUGUCUAGUAGAGAACUGAGAUGGUUUGAGGUCCUCUCCUGUAGUGUCUAGUAGAGAACUGAGAUGGUUUGAGGUCCUCUCCUGUAGUGUCUAGUAGAGAACUGAGAUGGUUUGAGGCCCUCUCCUGUAGUGUAGUAGAGAACUGAGAUGGUUUGAGACCUUGUCCUCUCCUGUAGUGUCUAGUAGAGAACUGAGAUGGUUUGACGUCCUCUCCUGUAGUGUCUAGUAGAGAACUGAGAUGGUUUGAGGUCCUCUCCUGUAGUGUCUAGUAGAGAACUGAGAUGGUUUGAGGCCCUGUCCUCUCCUGUAGUGUCUAGUAGAGAACUGAGAUGGUUUGAGGCCCUGUCCUCUCCUGUAGUGUCUAGUAGAGAACUGAGAUGGUUUGAGGUCCUCUCCUGUAGUGUCUAGUAGAGAACUGAGAUGGUUUGAGGCCCUGUCCUCUCCUGUAGUGUCUAGUAGAGAACUGAGAUGGUUUGAGGUCCUCUCCUGUGGUGUCUAGUAGAGAACUGAGAUGGUUUGAGGCCCUCUCCUGUAGUGUCUAGUAGAGAACUGAGAUGGUUUGAGGCCCUGUCCUCUCCUGUAGUGUCUAGUAGAGAACUGAGAUGGUUUGAGGUCCUCUCCUGUAGUGUCUAGUAGAGAACUGAGAUGGUUUGACGUCCUCUCCUGUAGUGUCUAGUAGAGAACUGAGAUGGUUUGACGUCCUCUCCUGUAGUGUCUAGUAGAGAACUGAGAUGGUUUGAGGCCCUGUCCUCUCCUGUAGUGUCUAGUAGAGAACUGAGAUGGUUUGAGGCCCUGUCCUCUCCUGUAGUGUCUAGUAGAGAACUGAGAUGGUUUGAGGUCCUCUCCUGUAGUGUCUAGUAGAGAACUGAGAUGGUUUGAGGUCCUCUCCUGUAGUGUCUAGUAGAGAACUGAGAUGGUUUGAGGCCCAGCUGUAGUGUCUAGUAUAGAACUGAGAUGGUACAUAUUCCCACUGGCAACAACUGUAACUGUGAUCGUAACGUCCAGGUUCAUGUGACUGAGACGGAACUGUCCUUCCGUAGUCUUUGAUUUCCUAUGUUCUGAUCACACCCCUGUUAUGAGAUGUUACGUUGUAGUUACUCCACAAUACUAACCUCAAUGUCCAUUAUAAAACAGAUUCCAGAUAUCCUGUUUGCAAUAAGACACUAAAGUCUUUUUUUUAAAUUACAACAAACGUGUCAAAUAAAUAAACUUUGUCCUGAAUACAGGGUCAGUGUUAUGAGAAUGUGAGGCGUGUAAAAAAAAAAGUUGAAUGAAUCUAAUGAAUUAUCCAGUUCUUCCACAUCAGUGAUAGAUUCUGGAGAGGAAGCCACUUGUAGACAACUGAAAUGCCAUUGGCAUCAUUUGAUAAUGUGCUUUUUUUCCCCUUUGUGAUAGUGCUAUGAGAAGUGUGUGUGUGUGUGUGUGGUAAACUGUCUUAACGGAUCCUC